rnacentral:miRNA from 1 species
AUCACCUGGAGAUCUUGUUAAACUGUAGAUUCUGAUUUACCAGGUGCUGAGUGGGGCCAGAGAGUCUGCAUUUCUAACAAGUUUCCAAGAGUUGCCAGU